GCCCAUCUCCAGCCCAACCCCACCUUGCACCCUCUUCCCAGCUCUUCCCUUUGACCAGUAACAGCCCAGCACUUCAUACUUUGCAACGAAACUGAGGCCUGUUUUGCAGAUGAAGAAACUGAGGCUGAGAGAGAUUAAGGGACUGGAGCUAGUCUACAUAGCUGCUGAGAGGUGGGGCCAGGUCUUUGACCCUAAGUGCAGUGCUCAGGUGUGAUGGUGCCUGGUCCAUGUGGGGGUUAUGAGUAUUGGUCUUGAAACCAGAGAGACCUGGGUUCACCCAGGAGCUCUGUGUACUUUGCACAGCACCCAGAAAAGGAGCCAUUGCCCUCGCGGCAGGAGGUCAAGCAGACCCCUGUCAUCAUGGCCAAGAUCAAAGGUACCAUACCUGGUUAAUUUUGAAAUCUUUUUGUAGAGACGUGGUCUUGCUAUGUUGCCCAGGCUGGUCUCAAACUCAUGGCCUCAAGUGAUCCUCCUGCUCGGGCCU
rnacentral:lncRNA from 1 species